rnacentral:rRNA from 1 species
GAGUGAACGCUGGCGGCAGGCCUAACACAUGCAAGUCGAACGGCAGCACAAGAGAGCUUGCUCUCUGGGUGGCGAGUGGCGGACGGGUGAGGAAUGCAUCGGAAUCUGCCCAUUUGUGGGGGAUAACCUCGGGAAACCGGGACUAAUACCGCAUACGACCUACGGGUGAAAGCAGGGGAUCUUCGGACCUUGCGCAGAUGGAUGAGCCGAUGCCGGAUUAGCUAGUUGGAGGGGUAAAGGCCCACCAAGGCGACGAUCCGUAGCUGGUCUGAGAGGAUGAUCAGCCACACUGAGACUGAGACACGGCCCAGACUCCUACGGGAGGCAGAAGUGGGGAAUAUUGGACAAGGGGCGAAAGCCUGAUCCAGCCAGGCCGCGUGUGUGAAGAAGGCCUUCGGGUUGUAAAGCACUUUUGUUGGGAAAGAAAAGCAGCCGGUUAAUACCCGGUUGUCAUGACGGUACCCAAAGAAUAAGCACCGGCUAACUUCGU